rnacentral:lncRNA from 1 species
UUUACCAUAAUCCUUUAGUGUUACCUUCACUUAGUACCCACGUGCUAACCCAUUUGAGUGGUUUGCGAGUCUUAACCUUUUUUUCACUGGGACAUUGGCAUUUUUACUGAGUCAUGCUCAUGACUAUGACUUCUACUAUCAUCCUUUACUGUUUCCUUCACUUAGUACCCCCGUUCGAAACCAUUUCUGUGUUUUUCGAGCGUUAAGUUUUCUUA